GACGAGCCUCACAAACGUUAUUCGGAAUUACUGGGCUUAAAGGGUGCGUAGGCGGCGCGGAAAGUUGGGUGUGAAAUCCCUCGGCUCAACCGAGGAACAGCGCCCAAAACUACCGUGCUCGAGGGAGAUAGAGGAAUGCGGAACUUAGGGUGGAGCGGUGAAAUGCGUUGAUAUCCUAGGGAACACCGGUGGCGAAAGCGGCAUUCUGGAUCUCUCCUGACGCUGAGGCACGAAAGCUAGGGUAGCGAACGGG
rnacentral:rRNA from 1 species